rnacentral:rRNA from 1 species
CCUACGGGUGGCAGCAGUGAGGAAUAUUGGUCAAUGGACGAGAGUCUGAACCAGCCAAGUAGCGUGAAGGAUGACUGCCCUAUGGGUUGUAAACUUCUUUUAUAUGGGAAUAAAAUGUUCCACGUGUGGGAUUUUGUAUGUACCAUAUGAAUAACGAUCGGCUAACUCCGUUCCAGCAGCCGCGGUAAUACGGAGGAUCCGAGCGUUAUCCGGAUUUAUUGGGUUUAAAGGGAGCGUAGGUGGAUUGUUAAGUCAGUUGUGAAAGUUUGCGGCUCAACCGUAAAAUUGCAGUUGAAACGGGCAGGCUUGAGUACAGUAGAGGUGGGCGGAAUGCGUGGUGUAGCGGUGAAAUGCUUAGAUAUCACGAAGAACUCCGAUUGCGAAGGCAGCUCACUGGACUGCAACUGACACUGAGGCUCGAAAGUGUGGGUAUCAAACAGGAUUAGAUACCCGGGUAGUC